rnacentral:rRNA from 1 species
UAAAUUUUUGCCGAGCUACACAUGCAAGUCGAACGGCAGCACAGUAAGAGCUUGCUCUUAUGGGUGGCGAGUGGCGGACGGGUGAGGAAUACAUCGGAAUCUACUUUUUCGUGGGGGAUAACGUAGGGAAACUUACGCUAAUACCGCAUACGACCUUCGGGUGAAAGCAGGGGACCUUCGGGCCUUGCGCGAUUGAAUGAGCCGAUGUCGGAUUAGCUAGUUGGCGGGGUAAAGGCCCACCAAGGCGACGAUCCGUAGCUGGUCUGAGAGGAUGAUCAGCCACACUGGAACUGAGACACGGUCCAGACUCCUACGGGAGGCAGCAGUGGGGAAUAUUGGACAAUGGGCGCAAGCCUGAUCCAGCCAUACCGCGUGGGUGAAGAAGGCCUUCGGGUUGUAAAGCCCUUUUGUUGGGAAAGAAAAGCAGCGGGCUAAUACCUUGCUGUUCUGACGGUACCCAAAGAAUAAGCACCGGCUAACUUCGUGCCAGCAGCCGCGGUAAUACGAAGGGUGCAAGCGUUACUCGGAAUUACUGGGCGUAAAGCGUGCGUAGGUGGUUGUUUAAGUCUGUUGUGAAAGCCCUGGGCUCAACCUGGGAACUGCAGUGGAAACUGGAUGACUAGAGUGUGGUAGAGGGUAGCGGAAUUCCCGGUGUAGCAGUGAAAUGCGUAGAGAUCGGGAGGAACAUCCAUGGCGAAGGCAGCUACCUGGACCAACACU